UACGUAGGGAGCAAGCGUUGUCCGGAAUCAUUGGGCGUAAAGCGCGCGUAGGCGGCCCUGUAAGUCCGUUGUGAAAGUCAAAGGCUCAACCUUUGAAAGCCGAUGGAUACUGCAGGGCUAGAGUCCGGAAGAGGCGAGUGGAAUUCCUGGUGUAGCGGUGAAAUGCGCAGAUAUCUGGAGGAACACCGGUGGCGAAGGCGGCAUCCUGGACCGGCAUUGACGCUGAGGCGCGAAAGCCAGGGGAGCAAACGGG
rnacentral:rRNA from 1 species